rnacentral:rRNA from 1 species
GGCUUUUUGAACUUUAUUUAAGGUCUUACCUGCUCAAUGAAUUAUUUUUAAAUAGCCGCGGUAUUUUGACUGUGCUAAGGUAGCAUAAUAAUUUGUCUUUUAAUUUAGGACUGGAAUGAAGGGUUUGACGUGGAGAAACUGUUUCUUUUAUUAUUUUUGAAUUUAAUUUUAAAGUUAAAAUGCUUUAAUUUUGUUAAGGGACGAGAAGACCCUAUCAAUUUUAAUUGAUUUGUUAAUGGUUUAAGCUGUUACACCUCAAUUUUACUGGGGCGGUAAAAUAAUUUAACUUAUUUAUAUUUAAUUGUAAUGAUUUUUUGUUUAUAUGAGAUCCAAUAAAUUAUAUUGAUUAUUAGAAUAAAUUACUGUAGGGAUAACAGCGUUAUUUCUUUUUAGAGUUCUUAUCGAUAAAGAAGAUUACGACCUCGAUGUUGGAUUAAAAUUUAGUUUUAUAAUGAAGGUAUUUGAAUUUAAGGUCUGUUCGACCUGUAAAAUUUUACA